UUUAAAACAGAUGACAUAGAAAAAGAAAAUAUUAUGGACCGGAGAGGACUCCAGAAAGAAAAGAAUAUCAGCUCUACACAAAAAAUGUAAUUUGGACUCCAGAGCCCUGUGGUCUUCCUGCUGAUUGAAAACCAUUUUUUUAUUCAUAUCAAGAGGUCUGCUUUGGGUGGAACUUAUCUGAGGUUGGAGUCUUCUGAAUAUCAGAUCCCACUACAGGCACUCACUUUAUUGAUGGAUAAUGAUGGUGUGUACAACAGAGGGACACUAAUCAUGAAGAGGAGGAGGAGGAAGAAAGAAUUGUUUUCAUGUACAAAAGGGACCACAUUGACCCUUUUCCUGUCCCUUGGGACCUGACCUGAAUGCCAUGUGUGCUCAAAUAGUUUUGUCAGUGGUCCUGCUAUGACACUGGCCAAUUCCUUCUGCACCCUUGGAUGAAGAUCAUUUGGGCCUGCUGACUUGAACACAUCAAGCCUCUCCAAGUGCCCUUUCACUAGAUCAUCACUAACUGUUGGUAGGCUGGUGUCCCCCCGGUGCCUGUCUAUAUUCCAGAAAUUUCAAGAGUCCAAGAUUUCAAAGGAAUGUAUGGGUACUCAAUAGCUCUGAAAUUCAGGUCAGUUUAUAUUUAGGUGCUGAAGGGUGGAGUUCAGUUGCUAAGUUUGGGCUUGCCAAAUUUGAAAACACUUUGUGAAUAACUUUAUCAUACCAAAAUGGCCUUGUCAGUUCUAUGAAAUGGUGGGUUGGUAUUUAAGGUUCCACAAUGCAAAAAACCCCAUGUUUCUUAGCUGCAAGCAUUUCUUUCUUUCAAAUGACAGAAUGGGAGAGAGGAAUGCAUACCCAAGGUUUAAAAAUGUUCAACCUAUUUAAUAAAUGUUUCAUCAUAGGCUUAUUUUCAUUCUGGAAUGGAUUCCCACUGCUCCUCAAUACUAAUAGUUAAUUUUAUAAUAUUUCCUCCAAAAUUAGUUUAAGCUACUAGAAACCAUCCUUUGUUUGUUUAUUGAUAGAAAACCAGUAAACUGCUUUCUUCCUGUUUGGACUCCUAUCCCCUGGACGCAAUGGGAAUCAACACAAUAGAAGGAUUUGUAUUACAGGCAAGGCAAGAACAAUUAAAGUAGUGUUUACAUUUGCAAGGUUUGAGGAUUUUAAUUGGAGUUUAUUUGUAAAAAAAAAAAAAAAAAGUUUAUCUCACUUUAUUUUUGAUACUCUGUAUUGUGUUAUCCGUGUUUACCACACCAGGGACAUCUUUCAUAUAAUAGUAGCAUUUAUGAUACUGUUCCAAAACUGCACUAGAAGCCACGAGAGCCCAGUAAUAAAUUUCUCCCUCUAGUGGCUGCAGAAGGAAAACUACAACACUUGAAAGAUAA